AGUUGCCAGCAUUCGGUUGGGGCACGUCUAGAGGGACUGCCGGCGACAAGUCGGAGGAAGGUGGGGAAUGACGUCAAAUCAUCAUGCCCCUUAUGACCUGGGCUACACACGUGCUACAAUGGGCGGUACAAAGGGCUGCGAACCCGCAGGGGAGCGAAUCCCAAAAAGCCGCUCUCAGUUCGGAUUGCAGGCUGCAACUCGCCUGCAUGAAGCCGGAAUCGCUAGUAAUCGCGGAUCCAGCAUGCCGCGGUGAAUACGUUCCCGGGCCUU
rnacentral:rRNA from 1 species